CCUACGGGUGGCAGCAGUAGGUAAUAUUUCUCAAUUUUCUAAACCCUUCCCCCUCCCCUCCUCUUUCCUUAUUCCUUUUUUCUUCUUUUACACUCCUUUUGUUAGAGAAGAUAAUGACGGCAUCUAACGAAUAAGCACCGGCUAACACCGUGCCAGCAGCCGCGGUAAUACGGAGGGUGCAAGCGUUACUCGGAAUCACUGGGCGUAAAGAGCGCGUAGGCGGGAUAGCAAGUCAGAUGUGAAAUCCUAUGGCUUAACCAUAGAACUGCAUUUGAAACUGUUAUUCUAGAGUAUGGGAGAGGUAGGUGGAAUUCUUGGUGUAGGGGUAAAAUCCGUAGAGAUCAAGCGGAAUACUCAUUGCGAAGGCGACCUACUAGAACCUAACUGACGCUGAUGCGCGAAAGCGUGGGGAGCAAACAGGAUUAGAUACCCCUGUAGUC
rnacentral:rRNA from 1 species